UACGUAGGUGGCAAGCGUUGUCCGGAAUUAUUGGGCGUAAAGCGCGCGCAGGCGGUCCUUUAAGUCUGAUGUGAAAGCCCACGGCUCAACCGUGGAGGGUCAUUGGAAACUGGGGGACUUGAGUACAGAAGAGGAAAGCGGAAUUCCACGUGUAGCGGUGAAAUGCGUAGAGAUGUGGAGGAACACCAGUGGCGAAGGCGGCUUUCUGGUCUGUAACUGACGCUGAGGCGCGAAAGCGUGGGGAGUAAACAGG
rnacentral:rRNA from 1 species